CCUGUCUCUUCCUAAUAUGCUGGGAGCCAUUAGCCAAGUAGGUAUGACAAUUUCCUUGCCAGCGUACCCCAUGUUGCUUAGUGGAAGGACUCGUGGAAAUAGGACAUUUUGCAGUGACAUUGCAUCUAAGGUGACCUUGCUCAAGGACCAGGGCGGAUCCGGGUUUAGGGUGUUCCCAGUUUAGGAUAAUCCGGGUUUAGGGCGUUCCCGGUUUAAGACAAUCCGGGUUUAGGGUGGUUCCAGGUUUAAGGUUAUUCCUGCUGGGAAUAGGGCGUAUCCUGCUGCCUGAGUUCCCCUUGAGUUCUCACGGGAUUCAGACAGUAUUUUUCGGGAGACAGAAGCCCAGUGGUGGUGAUUUUGGGCAGAGAACGUGGAUUUCCCCAGAAUGUGAUUGUAGACGGCUGGUGUGAGUUCGGGAAUAAAGAGUUGCUGUUUGAAUCUACAAGCUGUGUGGUGGCUCGUGAUUUUGUGCCCAGCCAGACUGCGGCAUUAAUAAAGAGUCAUUCUUGCAAAUAACUAUUUAUAAGUUUAUAUUCAUGAUAAAAUUUAAGUAAAUCCUAUGAAUGAUAUUUCAUGAAAGAAAUUUGGAAGCAAAAAGAAGUUUAUAAAUUGGUGAUUUCAGC
rnacentral:lncRNA from 1 species